CCUACGGGUGACAGCAGUGAGGAAUAUUGGUCAAUGGACGCAAGUCUGAACCAGCCAUGCCGCGUGCAGGAAGACGGCUCUAUGAGUUGUAAACUGCUUUUGUACGAGGGUAAACGCAGAUACGCGUAUCUGUCUGAAAGUAUCGUACGAAUAAGGAUCGGCUAACUCCGUGCCAGCAGCCGCGGUAAUACGGAGGAUUCAAGCGUUAUCCGGAUUUAUUGGGUUUAAAGGGUGCGUAGGCGGUCGGAUAAGUUAGAGGUGAAAUCCCGAGGCUCAACUUCGGAAUUGCCUCUGAUACUGUUCGGCUAGAGAGUAGUUGCGGUAGGCGGAAUGUAUGGUGUAGCGGUGAAAUGCUUAGAGAUCAUACAGAACACCGAUUGCGAAGGCAGCUUACCAAGCUACUUCUGACGUUGAGGCACGAAAGCGUGGGGAGCGAACAGGAUUAGAUACCCCGGUAGUC
rnacentral:rRNA from 1 species